rnacentral:tRNA from 1 species
GAUGUAGCAGAUAGCGCACUAGUCUGCUAUACUAGAAGAUCCCGGGUUCGAUCCCCGGCAGAAUCG